GAUGAACGCUGGCGGCGUGCUUAACACAUGCAAGUCGAACGAGAAGUGGAGACGGAAACCUUCGGGCGGAAGGCUUUAUUUCGAGUGGCGGACGGGUGAGUAACGCGUGGGUAACCUGCCUCAUACAGGGGGAUAACAGUUGGAAACGACUGUUAAUACCGCAUAAGACCACAGCACCGCAUGGUGCGGGGGUAAAAACUCCGGUGGUAUGAGAUGGACCCGCGUUCGAUUAGCCAGUUGGCGGGGUAACGGCCCACCAAAGCGACGAUCGAUAGCCGAUCUGAGAGGAUGGCCGGCCACAUUGGGACUGAGACACGGCCCAAACUCCUACGGGAGGCAGCAGUGGGGAAUAUUGCACAAUGGGGGAAACCCUGAUGCAGCGACGCCGCGUGAGUGAAGAAGUAUUUCGGUAUGUAAAGCUCUAUCAGCAGGGAAGAAAAUGACGGUACCUGAGUAAGAAGCCCCGGCUAACUACGUG
rnacentral:rRNA from 1 species